AGAGUUUGAUCCUGGCUCAGGAUGAACGCUGGCGGCGUGCCUAACACAUGCAAGUCGAACGGCAGGCGUCCCUUCGGGGUCGCCGAGAGUGGCGCACGGGUGCGUAACGCGUAUGCAACCCACCCGCCGCCGGGGGAUAGCCCGGGGAAAUCCGGAUUAACCCCCCAUGAGGAGCGGACGAGGCAUCUCGUCCGUUUCAAAACCACGGUGGCGGCGGACGGGCAUGCGUGCCAUUAGAUAGUUGGCGGGGCGACGGCCCACCAAGUCGACGAUGGCUAGGGGAUCUGAGAGGACGGUCCCCCACACUGGUACUGAGACACGGACCAGACUCCUACGGGAGGCAGCAGUAAGGGAUAUUGGUCAAUGGGGGGAACCCUGAACCAGCCAUGCCGCGUGAGGGAGUGAGGCCCUACGGGUCGUGAACCUCUUUUGCCGGGGGAUAAGGGCGCCCACGCGUGGGCGUUUGAAGGUACCCGGAGAAUAAGCAUCGGCUAAUUCCGUGCCAGCAGCCGCGGUAAUACGGAAGGUCCGGGCGUUAUCCGGAUUUAUUGGGUUUAAAGGGAGCGUAGGCCGGAGAUUAAGCGUGUUGUGAAAUGUAGAGGCUCAACCUCUGCACUGCAGCGCGAACUGGUCUUCUUGAGUACGCACAACGUGGGCGGAAUUCGUGGUGUAGCGGUGAAAUGCUUAGAUAUCACGAAGAACUCCGAUUGCGAAGGCAGCUCACGGGAGCGCAACUGACGCUGAAGCUCGAAAGUGCGGGUAUCGAACAGGAUUAGAUACCCUGGUAGUCCGCACGGUAAACGGAUGGAUGCCCGCUGUUGGCCUGAAUAGGUCAGCGGCCAAGCGAAAGCAUUAAGCAUCCCACCUGGGGAGUACGCCGGCAACGGUGAAACUCAAAGGAAUUGACGGGGGCCCGCACAAGCGGAGGAACAUGUGGUUUAAUUCGAUGAUACGCGAGGAACCUUACCCGGGCUUGAAUUGCAGAGGAAGGAUUUGGAGACAAUGACGCCCUUCGGGGUCUCUGUGAAGGUGCUGCAUGGUUGUCGUCAGCUCGUGCCGUGAGGUGUCGGCUUAAGUGCCAUAACGAGCGCAACCCCUCUCCUUAGUUGCCAUCAGGUUAAGCUGGGCACUCUGGGGACACUGCCACCGCAAGGUGUGAGGAAGGUGGGGAUGACGUCAAAUCAGCACGGCCCUUACGUCCGGGGCUACACACGUGUUACAAUGGGGCAUACAGAGCGUCGGCGUGUCGCAAGACGCGUCUAAUCGUCAAACUGUCCCUCAGUUCGGAUUGGGGUCUGCAACCCGACCCCAUGAAGCUGGAUUCAAUAGUAAUCGCGCAUCAGCCAUGGCGCGGUGAAUACGU
rnacentral:rRNA from 1 species